rnacentral:rRNA from 1 species
UGGGGAAUUUUGGACAAUGGGGGAAACCCUGAUCCAGCCAUCCCGCGUGUGCGAUGAAGGCCUUCGGGUUGUAAAGCACUUUUGGCAGGAAAGAAACGUCAUGGGUUAAUACCCCGUGAAACUGACGGUACCUGCAGAAUAAGCACCGGCUAACUACGUGCCAGCAGCCGCGGUAAUACGUAGGGUGCAAGCGUUAAUCGGAAUUACUGGGCGUAAAGCGUGCGCAGGCGGUUAGGAAAGAAAGAUGUGAAAUCCCAGAGCUCAACUUUGGAACUGCAUUUUUAACUACCGGGCUAGAGUGUGUCGGAGGGAGGUGGAAUUCCGCGUGUAGCAGUGAAAUGCGUAGGUAUGCGGAGGAACACCGAUGGCGAAGGCAGCCUCCUGGGAUAACACUGACGCUCAUGCACGAAGGCGUGGGGAGCAAACAGA